AUUGAACGCUGGCGGCAGGCCUAACACAUGCAAGUCGAACGGUAACAGGAAGAAGCUUGCUUCUUUGCUGACGAGUGGCGGACGGGUGAGUAAUGUCUGGGAAACUGCCUGAUGGAGGGGGAUAACUACUGGAAACGGUAGCUAAUACCGCAUAACGUCGCAAGACCAAAGAGGGGGACCUUCGGGCCUCUUGCCAUCGGAUGUGCCCAGAUGGGAUUAGCUAGUAGGUGGGGUAACGGCUCACCUAGGCGACGAUCCCUAGCUGGUCUGAGAGGAUGACCAGCCACACUGGAACUGAGACACGGUCCAGACUCCUACGGGAGGCAGCAGUGGGGAAUAUUGCACAAAGGGCGCAAGCCUGAUGCAGCCAUGCCGCGUGUAUGAAGAAGGCCUUCGGGUUGUAAAGUACUUUCAGCGGGGAGGAAGGGAGUAAAGUUAAUACCUUUGCUCACUGACGUUACCCGCAGAAGAAGCACCGGCUAACUCCGUG
rnacentral:rRNA from 1 species